rnacentral:tRNA from 1 species
GGGGUUGGGGCUCAGUGGUAGAGCACUUGCCUGGCAUGUAUGAAGCACUGGGUUUGAUCCUCAGCACCA